CAGUUGCACUAACCACUGCGCCCAUUCAUCAUCGAAGCUCACGAGAUACCUAAUAUAGAUAUAGAAUGCGGAGACACCGAACCGCAGGGACAAAUGUCAAGGAUGUCUCCCGCGACACCGUUGCAGCUGGGAGCGCGCCAACUCUCAAACUUGGCUCAACUUCUUGAGCACAUUCGAAUACUCGUGCGAUAUGUAUUGAUAUCACUUGGAAAAUUAAACUCUCAAAGAAUUGAAACUUUCGAAAAUGGAUUAAUAGCUUUGUGUUGUGCCAAAAUAGCACGGAUGAUUUCGCCCACGUUACGUAGAACAGAGUAUACACGAAGAAAAAUUAAACGGUGCGCUCGAGAUAACAAUCUCAAGAGAAUUUUGACGACUGUAGUAAUAGACAGCAGGGUCAUCAUAGAUAGAAUGAAAGACAAUUGCAAAUGAUAAGGGAUUCAGAACAUUUUUCGAAGCUACUAUUACUUACGAAGUACCAGGGACUAUAAAAAAAAUAAUGGUAUAUAAAAACUCAUUUAUACACAAA